AUACUUGCUUCGGCAGUACAUAUACUAAAAUUGGAACGAUGCAGAGAAGGUUAGUAUGGCCCCUGCGCAAAGACGACUGAAUAAACACAAUGUAACUCAGAUAUAA
rnacentral:snRNA from 1 species